CUGAUACUGGCAAGCUUGAGUCUCGUAGAGGGGGGUAGAAUUCCAGGUGUAGCGGUGAAAUGCGUAGAGAUCUGGAGGAAUACCGGUGGCGAAGGCGGCCCCCUGGACGAAGACUGACGCUCAGGUGCGAAAGCGUGGGGAGCAAACAGGAUUAGAUACCCUGGUAGUCCACGCCGUAAACGAUGUCGACUUGGAGGUUGUGCCCUUGAGGCGUGGCUUCCGGAGCUAACGCGUUAAGUCGACCGCCUGGGGAGUACGGCCGCAAGGUUAAAACUCAAAUGAAUUGACGGGGGCCCGCACAAGCGGUGGAGCAUGUGGUUUAAUUCGAUGCAACGCGAAGAACCUUACCUGGUCUUGACAUCCACGGAAGUUUUCAGAGAUGAGAAUGUGCCUUCGGGAAC
rnacentral:rRNA from 1 species